rnacentral:rRNA from 1 species
GACGAACGCUGGCGGCGUGCCUAAUACAUGCAAGUAGAACGCUGAAGCUUGGUGCUUGCACCGAGCGGUUGAGUUGCGAACGGGUGAGUAACGCGUAGGUAACCUGCCUGGUAGCGGGGGAUAACUAUUGGAAACGAUAGCUAAUACCGCAUAAUAGUAGAUGUUGCAUGACAUUUGCUUAAAAGGUGCAAUUGCAUCACUACCACAUGGGUCUGCGUUGUAUUAGCUAGUUGGUGAGGUAACGGCUCACCAAGGCAACGAUACAUAGCCGACCUGAGAGGGUGAUCGGCCACACUGGGAAGGAGACACGGCCCAGAAUCCUACGGGAGGCAGCAGUAGGGAAACUUCGGCAAUGGACGGAAGUCUGACCGAGCAAAGCCGCGUGAGGGAAGAAGGUUUUCGGAUCGGAAAGCUCUGUUGUAAGAGAAGAACGAGUGUGAGAGUGGAAAGUUCACACUGUGACGGUAUCUGAACAGAAAGGGACGGCUAACUACGUG